UCAGCUGCAGACGGAUGCAUGCAUUUAACACAGAUUCACUACAACUACACAGAUUGAAAGAGAGAUGAGCUUUGAAUGUCAGUCACCUGGUCUCUCUGCUCUAUGUGCUGCUGUCUCUCGUCAUCUAGGGUGAUGUUCAGAUCCUUUAAUUUCCUCUCCAGGCGUCGCUGUGAUGACAGCACUGUGGUUUUCUCCCUGUAAAAACACACAGCUCUUCUCGACCGGACUGAAACUGCUCUCUCCAAUGGUUCCCCUCAUCUCUACACUCCUCCAACUGCUGCUGAAGAGUCCUCACUGAGGAGUUCACCCGGUGACGCUCAGCUUCAAUGGAUGCUUGAGACUGAGGCACAGACACAGAAUAACUUCACCUCCUGCUGUAGUCCUGCCAGCUGAUCCUCCAGCUCUCUAACAUGAGACUCUGCGUACUCCCUGUCCAUGCGCAACUGAGUCAGCCUAAGAAAGAACACACAAACACAAUAAAGCAUAA